GUGAGGAAUCUUGCGCAAUGGGCGAAAGCCUGACGCAGCGACGCCGCGUGGAGGAUGAAGGUCUUCGGAUCGUAAACUCCUGUCGAGCGGGACGAAGGUCGAGGGGUCAAUACCCUCUCGGCUCGACGGUACCGCUGGAGGAAGCCCCGGCUAACUCCGUGCCAGCAGCCGCGGUAAUACGGAGGGGGCCAGCGUUGUUCGGAAUCAUUGGGCGUAAAGGGCGCGUAGGCGGCCCAGCAAGUCGGAUGUGAAAUCCCUCGGCUCAACCGGGGAACUGCAUCCGAAACUACUGGGCUCGAGUCCUGGAGAGGGUAGUGGAAUUCCCGGUGUAGCGGUGAAAUGCGUAGAUACCGGGAGGAACACCGGUGGCGAAGGCGGCUACCUGGACAGGUACUGACGCUGAGGCGCGAAAGCUAGGGGAGCAAACAGGAUUAGAUACCCUGGUAGUCC
rnacentral:rRNA from 1 species